rnacentral:rRNA from 1 species
UACGUAGGGGGCAAGCGUUGUCCGGAUUUAUUGGGCGUAAAGAGCGUGUAGGCGGCUUGGAAGGUCAGCUGUGAAAACUCGAGGCUCAACCUCGAGACGUCGGUUGAAACCACCUGGCUAGAGUCCGGAAGAGGAGAGUGGAAUUCCCGGUGUAGCGGUGAAAUGCGCAGAUAUCGAGAAGAACACCCGUGGCGAAGGCAGCUCGCUGGGACGUUACUGACGCUGAGACGCGAAAGCGUGGGGAGCAAACAGG